GCAAGUCGAACGCGAACGGCACUUCGGUGCUUAUUAGAGUGGCGGACGGGGUAGUAACGCGUGGGAACGUGCCUUGAGGUAUGGGAUAACGUCGGGAAACCGGCGCUAAUACCGUAUGAUCCCUUAGGGGCAAAGAUUUAUCGCCUUGAGAUGGGCCCGCGUUAGAUUAGCUAGUUGGUGGGGUAAAGGCUUACCAAGGCGACGAUCUAUAGCUGGUUUGAGAGGAUGAUC
rnacentral:rRNA from 1 species